GUGGGGAAUUUUGGACAAUGGACGAAAGUCUGAUCCAGCGACGCCGCGUGAAGGACGAAGGUUUUCGGAUCGUAAACUUCUUUUGCAGGGGGCGAAAGCCCGCAAGGGUUUGACAGUACUCUGCGAAUAAGCCACGGCUAACUACGUGCCAGCAGCCGCGGUAAUACGUAGGUGGCGAGCGUUACUCGGAAUUACUAGGCGUAAAGCGCGUGUAGGCGGGAGGUUAAGUCUGCUGUUAAAUCUCGUGGCUCAACCACGAAAUGCCGGCGGAUACUGGCCUUCUUGAAUUCGGUAGAGGUAACUGGAAUUCCAGGUGUAGCGGUGAAAUGCGUAGAUAUCUGGAAGAACGCCAAAGGCGAAAGCAGGUUACUGGGCCGCAAUUGACGCUGAGACGCGAAAGCUAGGGGAGCAAACAGGAUUAGAAACCCUGGUAGUCC
rnacentral:rRNA from 1 species